rnacentral:rRNA from 1 species
AUUCCUACGGGAGGCAGCAGUGGGGAAUUUUCCGCAAUGGGCGAAAGCCUGACGGAGCAACGCCGCGUGAGGGACGAAGGCUUCUGGGCUGUAAACCUCUUUUCUCAAGGAAGAAGAUAUGACGGUACUUGGGGAAUAAGCCACGGCUAAUUCCGUGCCAGCAGCCGCGGUAAUACGGGAGUGGCAAGCGUUAUCCGGAAUUAUUGGGCGUAAAGCGUCCGCAGGCGGCUUUUCAAGUCUGCUGUUAAAACGUGGAGCUUAACUCCAUCAUGGCAGUGGAAACUGAAAGGCUUGAGUAUGGUAGGGGCAGAGGGAAUUCCCGGUGUAGCGGUGAAAUGCGUAGAUAUCGGGAAGAACACCAGUGGCGAAGGCGCUCUGCUGGGCCAUUACUGACGCUCAUGGACGAAAGCCAGGGGAGCGAAAGGGAUUAGAUACCCCUGUAGUCCUGGCCGUAAACGAUGAACACUAGGUGUCGGGGGAAUCGACCCUUCGGUGUCGUAGCUAACGCGUUAAGUGUUCCGCCUGGGGAGUACGCACGCAAGUGUGAAACUCAAAGGAAUUGACGGAAU